rnacentral:rRNA from 1 species
AGUGAACGCUGGCGGUAGGCCUAACACAUGCAAGUCGAACGGCAGCACAGUAAGAGCUUGCUCUUACGGGUGGCGAGUGGCGGACGGGUGAGGAAUACAUCGGAAUCUACUUUUUCGUGGGGGAUAACGUAGGGAAACUUACGCUAAUACCGCAUACGACCUACGGGUGAAAGUAGGGGAUCUUCGGACCUUGCGCGAUUGAAUGAGCCGAUGUCGGAUUAGCUAGUUGGCGGGGUAAAGGCCCACCAAGGCGACGAUCCGUAGCUGGUCUGAGAGGAUGAUCAGCCACACUGGAACUGAGACACGGUCCAGACUCCUACGGGAGGCAGCAGUGGGGAAUAUUGGACAAUGGGCGCAAGCCUGAUCCAGCCAUACCGCGUGGGUGAAGAAGGCCUUCGGGUUGUAAAGCCCCUUUGUUGGGAAAGAAAAGCAGCAGGUUAAUACCCCGCUGUUCUGACGGUACCCAAAGAAUAAGCACCGGCUAACUUCGUG